UCUUCGUUGGUGCAUUGGUUAGCACAUGCAUUUGAUUAAUGCGAGAGCUGGGUUCGACUCCCAGACAAGGAC
rnacentral:tRNA from 1 species